UAAGGAAUAUUGGUCAAUGGACGCAAGUCUGAACCAGCCAUGCCGCGUGAAGGAUGAAGGUCCUCUGGAUUGUAAACUUCUUUUAUCUGGGACGAAAACGGGAUUUUUAUCUCAAUUGACGGUACCAGAGGAAUAAGCACCGGCUAACUCCGUGCCAGCAGCCGUGGCAAUACGAAGGAUGCAAGCGUUAUCCGGAAUUAUUGGGUCUAAAGGGUGCGUAGGCGGACUAAUAAGUCAGUGGUGAAAGCCUGCAGCUUAACUGCAGAAUUGCCAUUGAUACUGUUAGUCUUGAGUACAGUUGAGGUAGGCGGAAUGUGUCAUGUAGCGGUGAAAUGCUUAGAUAUGACACAGAACACCGAUUGCGAAGGCAGCUUGCUAAGCUGUAACUGACGCUGAGGCACGAAAGCGUGGGGAGCAAACA
rnacentral:rRNA from 1 species